rnacentral:rRNA from 1 species
CCUACGGGAGGCUGCAGUAGGGAAUCUUCCACAAUGGGCGCAAGCCUGCUGGAGCAACACCGCGUGAGUGAAGAAGGGUUUCGGCUCGUAAAGCUCUGUUGUUGGAGAAGAACGUGCGUGAGAGUAACUGUUCACGCAGUGACGGUAUCCAACCAGAAAGUCACGGCUAACUACGUGCCAGCAGCCGCGGUAAUACGUCGGUGGCAAGCGUUAUCCGGAUUUAUUGGGCGUAAAGCGAGUGCAGGCGGUUGCUUAGGUCUGAUGUGAAAGCCUUCGGCUUAACCGAAGAAGUGCAUCGGAAACCGGGCAACUUGAGUGCAGAAGAGGACAGUGGAACUCCAUGUGUAGCGGUGGAAUGCGUAGAUAUAUGGAAGAACACCAGUGGCGAAGGCGGCUGUCUUGUCUGCAACUGACGCUGAGGCUCGAAAGCAUGGGUAGCGAACAGGAUUAGAUACCCCUGUAGUC